rnacentral:rRNA from 1 species
ACUCCUACGGGAGGCAGCAGUGGGGAAUAUUGCACAAUGGGCGCAAGCCUGAUGCAGCCAUGCCGCGUGUAUGAAGAAGGCCUUCGGGUUGUAAAGUACUUUCAGCAGUGAGGAAGGGUGGGUAUGUUAAUAGCAUACUUCAUUGACGUUAGCUGCAGAAGAAGCACCGGCUAACUCCGUGCCAGCAGCCGCGGUAAUACGGAGGGUGCGAGCGUUAAUCGGAAUUACUGGGCGUAAAGCGCAUGCAGGUGGUUUGUUAAGUCAGAUGUGAAAGCCCGGGGCUCAAGCC